rnacentral:rRNA from 1 species
AGAGUUUGAUCCUGGCUCAGGACGAACGCUGGCGGCGUGCUUAACACAUGCAAGUUGAACGUUCCGCCCUUUUUGGCCUUCGGGCCAUAAAGGACCACGGAAAGUGGCGGACGGGUGAGUAACGCGUGGAGAACCUGUCCUCAAGUUGAGGAUAACCUGGCGAAAGUCGGGCUAAUCCUGAAUAAGCUGACAGAUGAGCAUUCAUCAGUCAGAAAAGGUGCUUUUUAGCAUCGCUUAAGGAGGGCUCCGCGUCGGAUUAGCUAGCUGGUAGGGUAAAAGCCUACCAGGGCAACAAUCCGUAGCUGGUCUGAGAGGACGAUCAGUCACACCGGAAUUGAGACACGGUCCGGACUCCUACGGGAGGCAGCAGUGGGGAAUCUUUCCACAAUGGGCGCAAGCCUGAUGGAGCAACGUCGCGUGAGUGAAGAAGGCCUUCGGGUUGUAAAGCUCUGUCACCGGGGGAAGAACCACCGGCAGGGGAAAUUCUGCCCGGGCUUGACGGUUCCCGGGGGAGGGAGCCCUGGUUAAAUACGUGCCCAGCAUGCCGCGGUAAUACGUUUAGGGCAAGCUUUGUCUCGAAUUCAUUGAGCUUAAGGGUACGCAGGCGGAUAGGCAAGUCAAAUGUGAAAGGUGCCGGCUCAACCGGCAGAUUGCGUUUGAAACUGUCUAUCUUGAGUACAGCAGAGGAGAGCGGAAUUCCUGGUGUAGUGGUGAAAUACGUAGAGUUCAGGAAGAACACCAGUGGCGUAGGCGGCUCUCUGGGCUGUUACUGACGCUCAGGUACGAAAGCCGGGGGAGCAAACGGGAUUAGAUACCCCGGUAGUCCCGGCAGUAAACGAUGGACACUAGGUGUUGGGGGUCGAUUCCCACAAGUCCCACAGUUAACGCAUAAAGUGUCCCCGCCUGGGGAUUCGGUCGCAAGGAUGAAACUCAAAUGAAUUGUGCGGGGGACUGCGCAAGGGGUUGAUAUAAAAUGGGGUAUCCUCUUCAACGCGAGGAACAUAACGGAGGUUUGACAUCCCGUGACUACAGUUGAGAGCAGGGUUUGGCACUUGUGUCACAAGGGAAACAAAAAGUGCAUGGCUGUCGUCAGCUCGUGUCGUGAGAUAAUGGGUUAAGUCCCGCAACGAGCGCAACCCCUGUUCUUAGUUGCCAGCACGUAAUGGUGGGGACUCUAGGAAGACAGCCGGUGAAAGCCGGAGGAAGGUGGGGAUGACGUCAAGUCCUUAUGCCCUUUAUGCCUCGGGCUACACACGUGCUACAAUGGCCGGUACAGAGGGCAGCGAUUCCGCGAGGAAGAGCCAACCCUUUAAAGCCGGUCCCAGUUCGGAUUGCAGGCUGCAACCCGCCUGCAUGAAGCUGGAAUCGCUAGUAAUCGCAGGUCAGCAUACUGCGGUGAAUACGUUCCCGGGCCUUGUACACACCGCCCGUCACACCACCCGAGUUGGAUGCACCAGAAGUCG